GAUCAUUACAAGUUGACCCCGGCCCUCGGGCCGGGAUGUUCACAACCCUUUGUUGUCCGACUCUGUUGCCUCCGGGGCGACCCUGCCUCCGGGCGGGGGCCCCGGGUGGACAUUUCAAACUCUUGCGUAACUUUGCAGUCUGAGUAAAUUUAAUUAAUAAAUUAAAACUUUCAACAACGGAUCUCUUGGUUCUGGCAUCGAUGAAGAACGCAGCGAAAUGCGAUAAGUAAUGUGAAUUGCAGAAUUCAGUGAAUCAUCGAAUCUUUGAACGCACAUUGCGCCCCCUGGUAUUCCGGGGGGCAUGCCUGUUCGAGCGUCAUUUCACCACUCAAGCCUCGCUUGGUAUUGGGCGACGCGGUCCGCCGCGCGCCUCAAAUCGACCGGCUGGGUCUUUCGUCCCCUCAGCGUUGUGGAAACUAUUCGCUAAAGGGUGCCGCGGGAGGCCACGCCGUAAAACAACCCCAUUUCUAAGGUUGACCUCGAAAUCGAGGUAGGGAUACCCGCUGAACUUAAGCAUAUCAAUAAGCGGAGGAAAGGGCGAAUU
rnacentral:rRNA from 1 species